rnacentral:rRNA from 1 species
UACGUAGGGCGCAAGCGUUGUCCGGAAUUAUUGGGCGUAAAGAGCUCGUAGGUGGUUUGUUACGUCUGCUGUGAAAACCUAGGGCUUAACCCCGGGCCUGCAGUGGAUACGGGCAGACUAGAGGUAGGUAGGGGAGAAUGGAAUUCCCGGUGUAGCGGUGAAAUGCGCAGAUAUCGGGAGGAACACCGGUGGCGAAGGCGGUUCUCUGGGCCUUACCUGACACUGAGGAGCGAAAGCGUGGGGAGCGAACAGG